rnacentral:rRNA from 1 species
UACGUAGGCAGCGAGCGUUGUUCGGAAUUACUGGGCGUAAAGAGUGUGUAGGCGGUGCUCUAAGUUCGGUGUGAAAUCUCCCGGCUCAACUGGGAGGGUGCGCCGGAAACUGGAGUGCUUGAGCGUGGGAGAGGAAAGCGGAAUUCCUGGUGUAGCGGUGAAAUGCGUAGAUAUCAGGAGGAACACCUGCGGUGUAGACGGCUUUCUGGACCAUAGCUGACGCUGAGACACGAAAGCGUGGGUAGCAAACAGG